rnacentral:misc_RNA from 1 species
GAUGAAGAACGUAGCGAAAUGCGAUACUUGGUGUGAAUUGCAGAAUCCCGUGAACCAUCGAGUCUUUGAACGCAAGUUGCGCCCGAAGCCAUUAGGCCGAGGGCACGCCUGCCUGGGCGUCACACGUCGUUGCCCCCCCAUCUAAUCCUUCGGGAUUGCGGGGGGCGGAUGAUGGCCUCCCGUGCGCCUCGUCGCGCGGUUGGCAUAAAUGCCAAGUCCUCGGCGACGCACGCCACGACAAUCGGUGGUUGCGAAACCUCGGUUGCCCGUCGUGUGCGGUCGUCGCGCAUCGAGGGCUCGAAAAAAUUGCCGGGCUCCGGCUAGACUAUCAACGCGACCCCAGGUCAGGCGGGGUUACCCGCUGAAUUUAAGCAUAUCAAUAAGCGGAGGA